AGUCGAGCGAUGAACACCUUCGGGUGUGAAUUAGCGGCGAACGGGUGAGGAACACGUGAAGAAUCUGCCUUCAACUCUGGGAUAACUCCGGGAAACCGGGGCUAAUACCGGAUAUGAGCCUCGAUCGCAUGAUUGGGGCUGGAAAGUUUUUCGGUUGAAGAUGACUUCGCGGCCUAUCAGCUUGUUGGUGAGGUAAUGGCUCACCAAGGCGACGACGGGUAGCCGGCCUGAGAGGGCGACCGGCCACACUGGGACUGAGACACGGCCCAGACUCCUACGGGAGGCAGCAGUGGGGAAUAUUGGGCAAUGGAGGGAACUCUGACCCAGCGACGCCGCGUGAGGGAUGAAGGCCUUCGGGUUGUAAACCUCUUUCAGUAGGGAAGAAGCGAAAGUGACGGUACCUACAGAAGAAGCACCGGCUAACUAUGUGCCAGCAGCCGCGGUAAUACAUAGGGUGCAAGCGUUGUCCGGAAUUAUUGGGCGUAAAGAGCUCGUAGGUGGUUCGAUACGUCGGAUGUGAAAAUCAGGGGCUCAACCCCUGACCUGCAUCCGAUACGGUCGAGCUAGAGUUUGGUAGGGGAGACUGGAAUUCCUGGUGUAGCGGUGGAAUGCGCAGAUAUCAGGAGGAACACCGAUGGCGAAGGCAGGUCUCUGGGCCAAUACUGACACUGAGGAGCGAAAGCGUGGGGAGCGAACAGGAUUAGAUACCCUGGUAGUCCACGCCGUAAACGGUGGGCGCUAGUUGUGCGAACCUUCCACGGUUUGUGCGACGCAGCUAACGCAUUAAGCG
rnacentral:rRNA from 1 species